rnacentral:miRNA from 1 species
CUACAAAGGCAAGCACUUUCUC